rfam:Streptomyces yokosukanensis strain DSM 40224 genomic scaffold PRJNA299221_s042, whole genome shotgun sequence.
CUUCACCGAGCCGAGGAGCAGCGGCCGGUCCUCCGGCCGGUCCUGCCCGUACGUGGCGAGCAGUGCCUGGGCUUC